GCUCUCAGCCAGGUCUGAGGU
rnacentral:miRNA from 1 species